CUAAGUUUUGUGUUUCUGCUGUAAAUAUGGACGGAAAGCAACGUGUGGGCUUUUAGGUGGGCGUGAUUCAGUUUCAGAUUGCUCAUAAAGGACCCGCAUACAUUA